AUUUAUUUCUGUGAUAUCUUCAUUUAGAUACAACUCAUCUGGUUCUCGUGCCAGUGGACUGCGAGCCCCUCUGAAAGACAUUCGGAACACUUGUACCAAUAGGUCGAAUAAUGCCGUUGAUUUUAGCCAAUUUGCUUACAUUCCAAAGAACCAGAAGACCACAGUAACAUCUCUAAGACGCUGACUUUUGGAAAACAUGUGAAGAGAAAUGUUAAUCGGCUGAGGAUCGUGAUGUAUUUUGAACAUAAGAGCUCUACCGUCUAUUCCUUCACACUGAAUGUUUAAUUGUUAAGCUUCUUACUAUUUUUUUCUUUUAUAUUCCUAUGUUGUCAUCAUUGUUAUAGUAUUGCUAUUUAGAACUGCCUCUAAUUUAGGUGGCAUAUAUGUUUAAGGCUCAUUUUGGAUUUAUUUGAGGCCUUUAAUUGCAUGGCUA